GAGAAGCAAGACCGUGAGGUGGAGCAAAACUCAAAAACUUGUCUCAGUUCGGAUUGUAGGCUGAAACUCGCCUACAUGAAGCUGGAGUUGCUAGUAAUCGCGAAUCAGCAUGUCGCGGUGAAUACGUUCCCGGGCCUUGUACACACCGCCCGUCACACCAUGAGAGUUGGCAAUACCCAACGUACGUGAUCUAACCCGCAAGGGAGGAAGCGUCCUAAGGUAGGGUCAGCGAUUGGGGUGAAGUCGUAACAAGGUAUC
rnacentral:rRNA from 1 species